UGUCAGAGAAGAAGUUUAGAUGCUUUUUCUUCAAAGCAUUUCUUUCUACUGAUAGAAGAAGAUUAAUUCAAUUUGCCAGGUAUCUCUCUUGCUAGAGAGAGAUAUAUUAGGAACCUUUGAAAAUGGAUAUUUUCACAUGUUCUUCUUCAGAUACAAAAGCUGGCAGACACUGACAUGAG
rnacentral:lncRNA from 1 species